CUUAGAUUCUAGGAGGAGGAUAAUAUUGGAAUGUCCCCGUGGUCUUCUGAACAUGGGAAUUUUUAUAAGUGCAGACAGGGGAGGCUUGAACUGACGCUAGAAGUAGACCUAGCUCAUGGCUGUACCACCCUGAACAUGUCAAAUCUCAUCCAAAAACACAGCCAGCUCGGCCACAGCAUCCCACCCAAUGCACCCGAUUUCUCCAGUGCGGUCUCCUGGAGUUUUACACUGAAUGAAACAGGAAAAGUAGAAUCCAACGUUCUCCUGAAUCUCUAUAUAAGGAAAUGGCAUUGGAACUUCGGUUCACAGUGAGGCUCAGACAGUACAUUUCCGUCAUCGCUGUGUGUGGCUGGCGUUGGCAUUUGAUUAUUCUGGUUGUGGCCUACCGUGGUCACCCUCAGGAUCGAGACCACCUGGGGAGGUGUGAGAUCUCUGUGUAUCUCUAGUGAGCUGCAGGGCAGCGUAUGGGCACAGCUCGACACGGAAGCAGCGGGGAUUUCUGAUCUAGUGUACACUGUGCCUCGACACAGCCCUCUCAGAACGCUGCGCGUAGGGAUUCCUAAGCACUGGUUCCAACACCCAUUUGGUUUCAGGGCCCUGCUGAGCUUCGAAGAGUUUAAAGGAAGAAGAAUCUAGCCGCCUUUAACCUCGGAAGAGCGCAGGCACACUGGGUGCAUGUAGUGAUUGUACACAGACAGGUGGAAUUCUGUGUCGUUGUAUUUCUGCAUAUGCCACAAAACCCUGAAGAAACUCUUACACAGACCAACACGAGAUCGUUCAGGCUGGCCUUAAACUCAGUAUGUAACCCAGGCUG